CAUAGAAUCUUGAACUUAGCCUUUCAAAUCUCAUAGGAUUACUCCUCUCUAUCAAGAUCGAUAGAUCCUGUCUUGAUACAUACUCUACUCCUACAGUGAACCAACUAUCGUCAACAUCCACUAUGAGGGCUCAUUGAGAUCUAUGUUUAUAUGUCACUCAAACUUCAGCAGCUUCACUGCGAGUAGCAGUACCAUCUCA
rnacentral:lncRNA from 1 species